UGUAGUGUUAACAGAAACAAAGCUGAGUUUACAGAAACGAAUCAACCAUUUCUGCCACUCUCAACAGCCUCCUAUUAAGUUCAUUGGCUGUGAUGUGUUUGGGAUCUGCUCGCGAGUAUUCUGUGAUUUUGGGGAGGCGUUUGAUGUGUCAGACCCUACGGGAGAAGAACCAAAAGAGCUCUUCAUCCAAAACAUCAGCCAGGGGAAUCCUGGUGUAGUGACGUGUAUGGACAGCCGAACACAUGGCCUCCAGACUGGGCAGAGUGUGUGUUUUAAAG